UGGGGAAUAUUGCACAAUGGGGGAAACCCUGAUGCAGCGACGCCGCGUGGAGGAAGAAGGUUUUCGGAUUGUAAACUCCUGUCGUUAGGGACGAUAAUGACGGUACCUAACAAGAAAGCACCGGCUAACUACGUGCCAGCAGCCGCGGUAAAACGUAGGGUGCAAGCGUUGUCCGGAAUUACUGGGUGUAAAGGGAGCGCAGGCGGGAAGACAAGUUGGAAGUGAAAACCAUGGGCUCAACCCAUGAAUUGCUUUCAAAACUGUUUUUCUUGAGUAGUGCAGAGGUAGAUGGAAUUCCCGGUGUAGCGGUGGAAUGCGUAGAUAUCGGGAGGAACACCAGUGGCGAAGGCGGUCUACUGGGCACCAACUGACGCUGAGGCUCGAAAGCAUGGGUAGCAAACAGGAUUAGAUACCCUGGUAGUCCAUGCCGUAAACGAUGAUUACUAGGUGUUGGGGAUUGACCCCCUCAGUGCCGCAGUUAACACAAUAAGUAAUCCACCUGGGGAGUACGACCGCAAGGUUGAAACUCAAAGGAAUUGACGGGGGCCCGCACAAGCAGUGGAGUAUGUGGUUUAAUUCGAAGCAACGCGAAGAACCUUACCAAGUCUUGACAUCCCUUGACGAUGCUGGAAACAGCAUUUCUCUUCGGAGCAAGGAGACAGGUGGUGCAUGGUUGUCGUCAGCUCGUGUCGUGAGAUGUUGGGUUAAGUCCCGCAACGAGCGCAACCCUUAUUGCCAGUUACUACGUUAAGAGGACUCUGGCGAGACUGCCGUUGACAAAACGGAGGAAGGUGGGGAUGACGUCAAAUCAUCAUGCCCUUUAUGACCUGGGCUACACACGUACUACAAUGGCGUUAAACAAAGAGAAGCAAGACCGCGAGGUGGAGCAAAACUCAAAAACAACGUCUCAGUUCAGAUUGCAGGCUGCAACUCGCCUGCAUGAAGUCGGAAUUGCUAGUAAUCGUGGAUCAGCAUGCCGCGGUGAAUACGUUCCC
rnacentral:rRNA from 1 species